UAGUUUAGGGUUUAAAACCCUAAUGCUGGCUGAAUGAAAGAGUUCAGUUUAGGGUUUAAAACCCUAAUGCUGACUAAAGGAAAAGUUCAGUUUAGGGUUUAAAACCCUAAUGCUGACUGCAUGGAAAAGCUCAGUUUAGUGUUUAAAACCCUAAUGCUGGCUGAAUGGAAAAAGUUCAGUUUAGGGUUUAAACCCUAAUGUUGACUAAAGGGAAAAUUCAGUUUAGGAUUUAAAACCCUAAUGCUGACUGCAUGGAAAAGCUCAGUUUAGGGUUUAAAACCCUAAUGCUGGCUGAAUGGAAAAAGUUCAGUUUAGGGUUUAAAACCCUAAUGCUGACUAAAAGGAAAAGUUCAGUUUAGGGUUUAAAACCCUAAUGCUGAUUAAAGGGAAAAGUUCAGUUUAGGAUUUAAAACCCUAAUGCUGACUGCAUGGAAAAGUUCAGUUUAGGGUUUAAAACCCUAAUGUUGACUGCAUGGGAAAGCUCAGUUUAGGGUUUAAGACCCUAAUGCUGGCUGAAAAAAGUUCAGUUUAGGGUAUAAAACCCUAAUGCUGACUGGUUGGGGGUAAAGUUCGAGGAUGCUAGCUAACCCUUCUU
rnacentral:lncRNA from 1 species